rnacentral:rRNA from 1 species
UACGUAGGGACCAAGCGUUGUUCGGAUUUACUGGGCGUAAAGGGCGCGUAGGCGGCUUGACAAGUCACUUGUGAAAUCUCCGGGCUUAACUCGGAACGGCCAAGUGAAACUGUCAUGCUAGAGUGCAGAAGGGGCAAUCGGAAUUCUUGGUGUAGCGGUGAAAUGCGUAGAUAUCGGGAGGAACACCAGUGGCGAAGGCGGCUUUCUGGCCCGUUCUUGACGCUGAGGCGCGAAAGCUAGGGUAGCAAACGGG